GUAAACAUUUCAAAAUAAAAGCUCCAACAGAAAGAUUAUCUAUCUAUCUAUAUCUGUCUGUCUUGCUCAUAGACUGUAUACAGAAUGGACACUGUCUGCCUCCUCGCUGGGUGGAGCCACUGUGAGAACAGCACCCUCUGGUGACGGGCUGCAGUAUAGGUCAUAAAUCCCGCCUCCUCUAGCAAUCCUUGUGGAGUUGUGGACAAACUUGAGAAAUAAAUUACACAGAACGCACAUUUUUCUUCCCCCUGCUUGCGAUGUUGACAUGUAGUUACUGUUAGACUGGUUUGUGCUCAAGUCCUCUUUUUUUCUGUACAGCUCCAUUUUUAAAAGAUAUUAGAGGGUUCGUGUUUUCUAUGAUUGACACUUGAUACAGCCUUGGUACAGAUCACAGCGACUCUCUGCGACUCUCCCGCUGAAUGCGUACAACGCUACUGCGCAAUGUUGGUUUCAGGAAGUGGAGAAAAAAUGUAGAAUCACCAAGAGCUUACUGGGUUCAAAUCCAUAUACUGGCGGAAGGUGGAAACAAGUUGCCCAUAGUGUAUACAGUCUAUGGUCUAGCUAUCAAAAGAAUUCUGUUACAUGGGCUUUUAUUUUGAAAUGUUUACUUUUACAUGUGACUAUCACUUUUACUUACAGAUUCCAUGUUUUCUCAGAGGUUGGAUUACUACACAUACCCUUAUACAUCACCUGAAAAGCCCCUUGAAUCUAACUUACCCAAAACUCAGAGCAACUUCAGUAUGGCACAAUCCAAGAUGGCUGACCCUUUAUCAACAGUAAAAGUUUUUGUUCUUUUAAUCGUGUUUAUUGGCAACCUGGUUUACAGUUAAAUCAGUACAGCAAUGGUAUUGAGCAAGGUCUGCCUGUAAAUGCAUACAAAGACAUAUGAAGCUGCUAUUGUGCUGACUGUUAUUAGCUAUUAGCUAAAAAUGCUAGCAAGAACAGGGGCUAAUUUAAGCCUUUUAUGGUAGGAGACAUUAAAUGAACCAUUAUUUUAAAAUAAAAUACAACUGUCUUGUUGCCCUUUAAUAUCUGACACCACAAAUUAUGGCUAAAAAAUUCAAAAAAAAUUUGAAGCUGAAAUGUUUAUUUCACUUACUGCUGAAAACAAAAAAAAAUCAAAAUGUCCUUAAAAUUUAACAAACAUAUAUUUAUCUUAGAUGUUUUUGGAAAAUGAGAACGUGCAAGAGGACAUUUUUAUCAUUUAUUGGACUGUAUUCAGGUGUAUUUUCAGUAAUUUGUUGAUCAUAUUGAAGUGAUAGAAGUAUGUAAAAGUAUGUAUCAAAUAUGAUACAAAAGGCAUUAAAGGGUUAAAACUGUUUAAAAGGGUUUAUUCUUUUUAAACCAAAAAAGGAGAUGUUGAAAAAUGGUUGUGUACUACAGUUGUCUCUUUUAUCAUUUAUGUUGGAAAAACAAACAAAAAGCCACUUCCUUGUAUAUUUUUUUCCCAGCAUGAAAUCACAUGGUCACACCCUCUCACUCAAAAAUUUUUAUACUUUGUACUUAAGUUGGAGAGUUUGUCAUGCAACUUCAGAGGUUUUUGUGCCAAACUAGAAAUAUCUGUCUUAAUGGCAACACGUUGGAUCAUAUUACUGGGAUUUUAUGGGGCUCUCCUACUUUAUUUAUAGCACUUCACUCAAAAUAAUGUCAUCUGACCUGAUGAAUAUAGAGGCUAGACUAUUUAUAGAUCGCUUUUCUUCCAUUUAUGCUUUUUAUGACAUUUUAAGACCUUGCAACAAAUCCGUAACUGUGUAAAUCCUGCAUGUUGUCACACAGAUAACUCGGUCUUUUAUUGGAUCCCACCACUUGUUGACAGCAUUUCCUCCAGAUCACACUGUUUCUCAUUGGUUUUGGAUCAUGGGGAUAUGUUUUUUUUCUCUCUCUCAUGGUUUUGCACUGCUGGCAGCAGGCGCACAAAAGCACAUGAGUCGCUGUCAUUGCGCGCAACGUUUGCGGACGGCAGAGAGAUCUUGUGAGUACUUGUUGCGAGAGCCAUACGGGCGAAGGCGGCAGCAGCAGCAGCGUCCCGGAGCUGUCAAAUGUUGCGCACAGCCUUCAGUCACCAGUCAGUGGAGUAAGCAGACUAAUCCAUCAGACAAACAACUCGGGGGAUUAACCUUUUUUAGCCUCGCGAAAGUAGUUUUCGCCUCCGCACCCGGAAGCUUGCUUUUAAAAUCAUUAUUAAUUUGUCACAUGGCUUUGGAGAAUUCAAUAACAACAAAAAAUGGCGACAAUCACGUUGCUCUGUGUGGUCUUGCUGCGUCAUUAAAAAUAUUCAUGUAAACACGGGGAAUCGGACGAGGAAAUUGCAGGUAGGUGAGACAAAUUAUUCCUCCUAAAAUCAACGCAGACUGAUGGUGAAUAACAGAUGAAUUAUUUGACUUGAAAUGUACAGCAUGCUGUUUGUUUUUGCUUGGAAAAGGGGUGUGUAUGCAAUGCUGGGCGUUAACGUUUGGCUGCACAAUAUUCAGUACGAACAUUGCACUUAUAUCUUGUCAUAAGUCGCUUUUUGAAGGGCAUGUGCAGCUUUCCCAACGCAGGUAUGCAUGGUUUUAUGUAAUGCCAUAAAUUACGCGGUAGUGUACGUUUUGGCAACUUUUAUUGGCAGCAACUCGCCGUGGCACAGCUAAUUUCAGUUUAGCAGUCAUGUUUAUUUGCUUUAGCUUUAGUAUUGAUCUGUAUUAGAGCAUGUUAUCCUCCCCUUUAGUGGCUUCUUGUUCUUUACAAUGAGGAUUUAUGUAAUGUGGACGUGCUUUUCUUCACAGACACUCAUGACAACAAACGCAGCGUACAGCCCCGACGUCGUGUUUAUCCCCUGCCCUUUUUUUUAGUUAUUGCACAUGUUGCUUUUUUGCUUUUUCACGUCCGACACGAACAUUUCUUGGCUGGAGAGCCGUGCGCGGCGGGGCUAAUGGAGUUGUUUACAUGAAGUGCGGAGGGCGGACGGACUGACGAGGAGGUGGAGCCGCUACGUCGGCCACAGACGCCACCGGACUGCUCGAGAGAGAAAGAGGCUUCUCGCGGCCGAGGUGGGCGGAGCCCGCGAGGAGAAUCAUAACAAGUCUGACGUCAGCUGGCCUUGUGGUUGGUAUGAAUAAUAUAGAGUGGAGUUGGUGUCUGUGCUGAGUCCGAGCAGAGACGAGGAGGUUUUUAAGGGGAAAAUGCCUGUGAUUGUUUCAUGAGAUGAAAUAUUAACCAGAACACUGUGUGGGGACAGAAUAAAAAUAAAGGAACCAUAUUAAAAUGUGUUUGAAAUGGGAUGGCAGAGUACUCCAUUAUGGAUGAAUAGAAGAAAAUGGGUUUAUCCUUAUGUCCCGAAUAUUAGAAAUGUUAAUCCAAUUCAAUUGUAUCCAGGUAACAUUGCAUCUACCCAUUAGUGCAAGUUUCAGUGUACUAUUGACAAGGGUUGUUAUGAUUAUCGGAAGUUCAUGAGCUUAAUAAAUGAUAUGCAUUUACAGUAAAAAGUAAAAACUUAAUGUCAAGAUCUACAAUUUGAAAUAUAAACAAAACCCAAAACUUAUUGUAAUGCCUGAACCAAAUGUUUGAUCAAAGCGGCAACUUUCAACAUCAAACCCAGGAGUAAAUAGUUAACCAGUAAUACUAACAGCACCUCUGCAGACCAGCCAAGUAGAGUAAAAUCAGUUAAAACCAGUAUAAAACCAGUAUAAAAAGUGCAAUAAAUGCAGUAGUGCUAGCAGUGCAGUAUGUAUAUAGUGCUUAGGUGCACAGGUCGUCGACUCUUUUCAUACACAACCAUGUAGCACAAAGUGGUUUACACAGAAAAAGGAAUAAAAGAAACAAAGAAUACCCAAAUCUACCCCAGCCCAACCCCUUAUUCCCACCCCACAAUCUAAAUGCAACAGAAACAGUAUUAAAAUGCAUAAACUUAUAAAGGGCUUGAUUUCGUGGAAACAUGAUGUUUGCACUGAGGGAACUUCACUUUAAAACUCAAGAUAAGGAAACACUGGAGGUUUAGGUUAAAAUCUGAAAACAAAGUAACAUAGAAUGAAAUUUAAGAAAAAAUAAGAUAAAAUAAGAGCACUAAAAUAGCUCAAUAAAAGACGAUCCUAUCUUUAAAACUAGAAGAGAUAAAUGCUAAAACACUUAAAGUUAAAAGCAAGACUAAAAAGGUAUGUUUUCAGUUUGCUUUUAAGAUCAUUAUUAUAAAGACAGUUAUGUUUACACUCAUUCUGUUGGUUUGCAGGGAUACACAACAUCUUAAAAUAUAUGCAGAUACACUAGUUAGACUCAAAACUAUGAUUGCCUUGAUGUAGUGAUCCGAAAUAUGAAAAACAGCUAAAUGAUAUGCAUUUUCAGUAAAAGUACAAACCUUAUGUCAAAAUCUACAGUUUAAAAUAUUAUAAACACGACCCAAAACUUAUUGUAAUGCCUGAACCAAAUGUUUGAUUAAAGCGGCAACUUCCAACAUCAAACCCAGGAGUAAAUAGUUAACCAGUAAUACUAACAGCACAGCCAAUCAAAUGGUGUUGUAAGGGGGGACAUAAGGUGAACUCGAGUGAAGACACACCUGCACUGGAGCUGUGCUUUUUCACUUAUAUAAUAUUAUCAGUGAUUAGUAAAAUGCCAAUACAGAUAACUGGUCUAAUGCUAAUGUUGGCUCCAGUUUUGAUUUAGGCUGAUAAUUGGUCAUAUAGAUAAAUAAAACCAUUAAAACCAUUUGGUGGUGCAUUUAGCUAAAUGUAACUUAAAUCAAACAAAUAAAUAAAUGAACCUGUUCGAAGUAAAUGUUCUAUUUUCUGUGCAAUUGACUCCACUGUUGCUUAAAAAUAGAGUUAAAACUAAAGUUUUAUUUAAUCUAACACAGACAUCAUUGUGUUGCCCUGUUUAAAUACAGUUCACCUUGGUUUAUGGUUGCAGCUUUUCACACUAAUGCUCUUCUUUUGAAUUUGUUAGCGUUAGAAAAUGUCAUGGUAUAAAAAAUGUUUGAAUCCUGUUGGUAGAAGGGAAAGACUUUCUGCUUGUGUAGAGAGAUUUUUUAAAUAGUUUUUAAUGUUAGGCGACAUGCCCAUUACUCUUUGGAGUCAUGUGCUACAAUAUCAGCAACAGCAUGUUUCUUGAAAAAUGUCUUCACGGUAAAUGUUAAAUGCAAGUGAUAAAUCUUGUGGAAAUGAAGAUGUCACUGUAUGAACGGUAAAAAUGCAUGAAGAAAGCAUGAUUUUUGCAGCUGCUGCAGUGGAGCAUGAAUAUUGUGAAUGGAUGGUUGAAGGAGAGAAGCCCCGGUCUGCUAGAUUUGACAGGCUGCCCUGGUUCAGUUAUCACAGUGCUGAUGCUGUCCCCAUCGAAGGUACAGUACUGUGAUAACUGAAGGAUGGCUGCCAACUUGACACGAGUGCAGAAUUAGAUCACAUCCUGAGGAACAAGGAGAAGAAAGACAUUGCUGUGUGUUAAUUUAAUGUGAUAUCCAAAAUCCAAAUAUUUAUAUUCACAACAAAGUUAUCUUGAACUGAAUUGCUGCACAAGUGAUCCUUGGGACCAUUUUUUGGAAACCUGUCAGUCAUUUUUUAAUGUCAGUCUUGCUGUGUGAAGUGAAAUAAAAAGAUUGAGUUGUAUUUGAA